GUAAAUAAUUAAGGGCGUAUGGUGGAUGCCUAGGCUCUCAGAGGCGAAGAAGGACGUGAUAAGCUGCGAAAAGCUCCGUUUAGGUGCAAAUAACCUUUGAUGCGGAGAUCUCCGAAUGGGAUAACCCAAUAUGUUGAAGACAUAUUAUACCGUAAGGUAGGCAAACGCAGGGAACUGAAACAUCUAAGUACCUGCAGGAGAAGAAAACAAACGUGAUUCCCCCAGUAGCGGCGAGCGACCGGGGAUAAGCCCAAACCGUUAUUGUUUCGGCAGUAGCGGGGUAGUAGGACUGCGACAUUGAUGAAAUAAAUGAAAUGGAACACCUUGGAAAAUGUGAUCACAGAGGGUGAUAAUCCCGUACAUGCAAGUUUAUGAAUCAUAGCAGUAUCCUGAGUAAGUCGGGACACGUGUAAUCCUGACCGAAUCCGCCGGGACCAUCCGGCAAGGCUAAAUACUCCUGAGAGACCGAUAGUGAACCAGUACCGUGAGGGAAAGGUGAAAAGCACUUCGAACAGAAGAGUGAAAUAGUCCCUGAACCCAUACGCCUACAAGCUGUCGGAGCCGCUUCGUGCGGUGACGGCGUGCCUUUUGCAUAAUGAGCCUACGAGUUACUCAUCACCAGCGAGGUUAAGUACUUCAGGUACGUAAGCCGAAGCGAAAGCGAGUCUGAAUAGGGCGUCAAGUUGGUGGUGGUAGACGCGAAACCUUAGUGAUCUACCCAUGGGCAGGGUGAAGGUUUGGUAACACAAACUGGAGGCCCGAACCGGUAAACGUUGAAAAGUUUUCGGAUGACCUGUGGGUAGGGGUGAAAGGCCAAUCAAACUGGGAAAUAGCUCGUACUCUCCGAAAUGCAUUUAGGUGCAGCCUCUGUUGUUUUGUUCUAGAGGUAGAGCUACUGAUUGGAUGCGAGGGCUUCACCGCCUAUCAAAUCCGGCCAAACUCCGAAUGCUAGAACAUGAAGACAGGGAGUGAGCCAGCGGGUGCUAAGGUCCGUUGACGAAAGAGGGAGAACUCAGACCAUCAGCUAAGGUCCCCAAUUAUAUGCUAAGUUGGAAUUAAAACGGGGUGGGACUGCUUAGACAGCUAGGAUGUUGGCUUGGAAGCAGCCAUUCAUUUAAAGAGUGCGUAACAGCUCACUAGUCGAGCGGUCCUGCAUGGAUAAUACGCGGGCAUAAGCAUAUAACCGAAGCUAUGGGAUUGUAGAUGAUACAAUCGGUAGGAGAGCAUUCCAUUCAGCGUAGAAGCAGUAUCGUGAGGUAUUGUGGAGCGGAUGGAAAAGCAAAUGUAGGCAUAAGUAACGAUAAUGCGGGUGAGAACCCCGCACGCCGAAAGAUCAAGGAUUCCCCGGCAAUGUCAAUCAUCCGGGGGUAAGUCGGAUCCUAAGGGUAAGCCGAGUGGCGAUCCCGAUGGCAAACAGGUUAAUAUUCCUGUACUGAUCAUAACUGCGAUGCAGCGACGCAGAGGUGACACUGCUGCGUACUGACGGAAUAGUACGUUGAAACCCGUAUUCUUUGAUACCGGUAGUGAAGCACGCCGGUAGAGAUGAAAGGUGAUAGUACCGCAAUGCUUCGGUUGCGCGGAUAAUGCAGGUAAGCUGACUGCCAAGAAAACCUGCUAAGCUUCAGGUAAUGAUCAUCCGUACUGUAAACGGACACACGUGAUCAGGUAGAAAAUACUAAGGCGCUCGAGAGAUUCAUGGUUAAGGAACUAGGCAAAAUGGUCCUGUAACUUCGGGAUAAAGGACGCUCUUGUGAAAGAGCCGCAGAUAAUAGGCCCAGGCGACUGUUUACCAAAAACACAUGGCUAUGCUAAUUCGCAAGAAGAUGUAUAUGGCCUGACACCUGCCCGGUGCCGGAAGGUUAAGAGGAGAGCUCAGAGGUAACUCGAAGGUUUGAAUUGAAGCCCCGGUAAACGGCGGCCGUAACUAUAACGGUCCUAAGGUAGCGAAAUUCCUUGUCGGGU
rnacentral:rRNA from 1 species